rnacentral:rRNA from 1 species
UACGGAGGGGGCUAGCGUUGUUCGGAAUUACUGGGCGUAAAGCGCGCGUAGGCGGCUUUGUAAGUUAGAGGUGAAAGCCCGGAGCUCAACUCCGGAAUUGCCUUUAAGACUGCAUCGCUAGAAUCAUGGAGAGGUCAAUGGAAUUCCGAGUGUAGAGGUGAAAUUCGUAGAUAUUCGGAAGAACACCAGUGGCGAAGGCGACUGACUGGACAUGUAUUGACGCUGAGGUGCGAAAGCGUGGGGAGCAAACAGG